AAAGCUCGUAGUUGAAUUUCGGGAUCAAUUUAUUGGUCGUGCUAUUGUACGUACUGGUAUUAUUGAUUCCUACCUUCUGACGAACCAUGAUGUCAUUAAUUUGGUGUCAUGGGGAAUCAGGACUGUUACUUUGAAAAAAUUAGAGUGUUUAAAGCAGGCUCACGCUUGAAUACAUUAGCAUGGAAUAACGAAAUAGGACGUUUGAUUCUAUUUUGUUGGUUUCUAGGAUCGACGUAAUGAUUAAUAGGGAUAGUUGGGGGCAUUAGUAUUCAAUUGUCAGAGGUGAAAUUCUUGGAUUUAUUGAAGACUAACUACUGCGAAAGCAUUUGCCAAGGAUGUUUUCAUUAAUCAAGAACGAAAGUUAGGGGAUCGAAGACGAUCAGAUACCGUCGUAGUCUUAACCAUAAACUAUGCCGACUAGGGAUCGGAUGAUGUUAAUUUUUUAAUGACUCAUUCGGCA
rnacentral:rRNA from 1 species